GGAAGGAUCAUUAACACGUAUCCACGUAUCUACCUCUUGCGAACUUGUUUUUGUUUGUAGUUGUGCUGGGUACACAUUCAAAGGAAGCAGAUGGCCAUGUUGGGAAUUUAUUUUCCUGUUCUGCUUGCCUUCCACCCAUGUUUUUGAGUGCUAGUGUAUUGAGAUGCUGGAGGAGGGGAGCCUUUUUUGGCUUCUCCCUACCAGCAUCCUGCUAGCCAUUGCUCCUUGGGAUGGGUAUCUGGUGCAACUCGAAUCAUGGUGGUUAUAAACUAUUAACCCUUUUUCAAUUAUUGUCUUAGUGUGAGUGUGUGUUGCUCAAUUUAUUUUGAGUAACCCCCCUCCCCAAAAAAAUAACAAAGAUACAACUCUUAGCAACGGAUAUCUAGGUUCUCCUAUCGAUGAAGAACGCAGCGAAAUGCGAUACGUAAUGCGAAUUGCAGAAUUCAGUGAAUCAUCGAAUCUUUGAACGCAAAUUGCACUCUGGGGUAGCCCCAGAGUACUCUUCUUUCAGUAUCGGUUCCACACAAACUCAGCUGCGUGCAUCGUCAUAUGCAUCGUAUUCAUGCUGGAAAAUGAGAUGUCAGAGUAACUUUGUAUUGAGGUCAUUCUGUCUCUUUAAGUAUUCUAUUGCUUGUAACGUUUGUAAUGCCGAAAGGAUGCUCUCUUAUAAACCCUAGUGGAUGAGUAAGGCUUCCAUUUUGCCAAACAGCGUCACUGUCCUUUGAUAAAAAAGACAACAUAGAACUUUAUUGUUCUUGAUGUUUAAAAUCUCUCAGGACUCGGUGGAAAUCGCUGGGAUCGGCCCCAAAAAGACUAAGGGGACUGGAGGCAUCGGCCGAGUAAAGCACUACUACAUUGACGUUUCGGAGCUUCUCUUUAAGAAACCUAUUUUUCGUGUGUGUGUUUUACACACACACACAAAAAUAUGAAUUUGAUCUGAAAUGAAGUGAGACUACCCGCCGAAUUUAAGCAUAUUAUUAAGCGGAGGAAAAGAAACUAACAAGGAUUCCCCUAGUAACGGCGAGUGAAGCGGGAAAAGCUCAACCUGAAAAUCGGUGUACCUAGCGGUGCUCCGAAUUGUGGGGUAGUGACGCAACGCCAGCGUGUGACCUGGGUAUAAAUCUUUUGAAACAAGGUAUCAGAGAGGGUGAGAAUCCCGUCUUUGACCCGGAGUUUGCCGCGUACGGCCUGCGUUCUAAGAGUCGGAUAGCUUGGGAGUGCUGUCCUAAAUGGGUGGUAAAUUUCAUCUAAAGCUAAAUAUGGAGGAGAGACCGAUAGCGAACAAGUACCGUGAGGGAAAGAUGAAAAGAACUUUGAAAAGAGAGUUAAAAAGUACUUGAAAUUGCUAAGAGGUAAGCACUGGAAACCAGUCAUGCCUGAAGUUAUUUGCCUACUCGCUGGUCGCACCGGUAGUCGCUGAGACCUCAACGGCUCGGGUGGCCUCUGGUUUGCUUCUAGGGGGUGGGAACUGUAACUUUGGGCGAGUCAACAUCAGUUAGUCUUGCGGGAGAAACCUAGCUGGGAGGUAGUCCCACCUUGGCAACAAGGAGGGAAACUUAUACACCAAUUAGGCCACUACCGUGGGUGCUGACUGAGGAAACGAUAACACGCCCCGCAAGGGAGCGGUCCCAGGUUCCUGCUAUUGUGGUCGGUGUGGAAUACAAAGUAUUGCGCAUUGAUCAUCUUUAGUACUGAGCAGGGUCGAUCAGCUGUGUGUUCGCGAUGUUGACGAAAUGGUUUUCAUUGACCCGUCUUGAAACACGGACCAAGGAGUCUAACAUAUAUGCGAGUAUUUGGGUGCGUAAAACCCUGAUGCGCAAUGAAAGUGAAGCAGGUCUUAUGAUCUGUGAGGUAGGAACCCUGGGCUUGUCUCGGGAGGCACUAUCGACCGAUCGAUCAUUUAUGAGAGAUUUGAGUAAGAGCAUAUCUGUUGGGACCCGAAAGAUGGUGAACUAUGCCUGAUCAGGGCGAAGCCAGGGGAAACUCUGGUGGAGGCUCGUAGCGAUACUGACGUGCAAAUCGUUCGUCUGAAUUGGGUAUAGGGGCGAAAGACUAAUCGAACCAUUUGGUAGCUGGUUCCCUC
rnacentral:misc_RNA from 1 species